CAGCCGCGGUAAUUCCAGCUCCAAUAGCGUAUAUUAAAGUUGUUGCAGUUAAAAAGCUCGUAGUUGAAUUUCGGGGUUAGUAGGUUGGUCGUGCCACUGGUACGUACUGGUCUCACUGACUCCUCCUUCCUGAUGAACUGUAAUGCCAUUAAUUUGGUGUUGCAGGGAAACUGGACUGUUACUUUGAAAAAAUUAGAGUGUUUAAAGCAAGCUAACGCUUGAAUACAUUAGCAUGGAAUAAUGAAAUAGGACGUUCGAUCCUAUUUUGUUGGUUUCUAGGAUUGACGUAAUGAUUAAUAGGGAUAGUUGGGGGCAUUAGUAUUCAAUUGUCAAAGGUGAAAUUCUUGGAUUUAUUGAAGACUAACUACUGCGAAAGCAUUUGCCAAGGAUGUUUUCAUUAAUCAAGAACGAAAGUUAGGGGAUCGAAGACGAUCAGAUACCGUCGUAGUCUUAACCAUAAACUAUGCCGACUAGGGAUCGGAUGAUGUUAAUUUUAUAAUGACUCAUUCGGCGCCUUACG
rnacentral:rRNA from 1 species